rnacentral:rRNA from 1 species
AUGGCUGGACUAGCUUCCCAGAUGAAGAGAUCUUGUGACUGCUGCAAGAGAUAUGCUGACCAUUUGGAUGGAAGGAUGAAGUGUUUCUGCAGACGCAUGACUGCUAAUUUCAGACAUGGCAUGGCUAUACCGAACAAGUUCAUAGACCAUUUCGGUGGAAAGAUCUCAAGGACCAUCGAACUGGAAUCCCAUAACGGAAGCAUGUACACCGUUGAAGUCUCCAAGCUUAUGAACGAAACGGUCCUCCGGCGGCGUGGUUGGGAGGCGUUUGUCAAUGCGCAUUCCAUCGAGGAGAACGACUCGUUGCUGUUUCCCCACAUUGAGAAGUCGCUAUUCGAGGUCCUGGUGCUCGACUCUGAUGACUGUGAGAAAGUGCUUCCCUCUGCUGGCAUCAAAGUUGCUUCUUGUAAUGUUCAAGAAAGCAGCAGCGUGGAUUAUAUUGAUAUAUCAAGCAGCGUGGGUUAUAUUGAUAUAUCAAGCAGCUCGGGUGAUGAUACCACAAGAUCUCCGGGAAGCAAACGGUUUGCUACGUGUGAAAGAGGCGACUCAAGCCAUCCUAGAAAAACUGCCGUAAACGACUCCUCGUCUGAGGAGGAUUCAGGAGAAGACAGUGACGCGAAGGCAGAGGAACAUUCUGAAGAUGAAUCGUCUUUUGGGCUAGAUGAUGUACGUCAGACACCUUGCACAGGGCGCGACUAUGUCUUGUCCCUAAAUGCUCGUCUGUCUGGAGCUCAGGAGGAGAGAGUAACUAGGCUUCUCCAGGCUGUUCGAGCCAAGACUCCCGUGUUCGUGGCCAUCAUGAAAAUGAACACACGGAUUCAUACUACUGUGAUCCCCAAGCUUUUUGCAGAGGAGCACUUCCCGCGUGAAAGUCAGAACCUGACGCUGCAGCGGCCAGGCAAGAGCAAGAAGUGGCACCCAUGGUUUUACAUAAGGAAGAGUCAAUGUGGGCACGUCCUCACCGGGUCUCGCUGGGUAGGCUUCCUCCGUGACAAUGGCGUGCAGGAGGGAGAUCUCUGCGUCUUCCAACCAGUGAAGGGCACUGGCACCAGGAGCAAAUUCACAGUCCAUCUGCUUCACGAGCCCUUGGGUGCAAAUGGAAGUACUGGUCCGAAGAAAAGAGUAGGAAACACAAGGGUGAACUCGGCUGCCCCUGAAAGAUCAACCACUGCUCAUGGUCAUGGUGCAACAACAAUGGCAAAGGCGGCGCCACAUCCAGACGCCCCGACAACCCUCCGUGUCAACAAGGAGCAAGAUGAUGGGUGCAACCAUGGUCGUCAGCAAGCACGCCAACACCCAAAGCCGGCGCGUCCCUACGUAUUGUCAUCCACCGCACGCCUGACCGAGGAGCAGGAGAGGGAGGUGGACCGGACAGCCCGUGCCAUCGGGUCUUGGGUCCCCGCCUACGUCUCGGUGAUGAACAGGAGCAGCGUCGGCGUGGGCAACAGGAUCUACAACGUAAGCAUUUCCUGUGCGUAUGCUGCCGAGUAUCUUCCACCCGGGGAGCGGGUCGCCGUGACGCUCGUGAGGAGGAAGAAGGCGUGGGAGGUCGAGAUGCGCGCGCGCGGCGGCGGGCGAGCGCUGGCGCAUGGCUGGCGUGGUUUCGCCCGCGACAACCGGCUGCGGGUGCAGGACGUGUGCCUGUUCCAGCCCAUGGAGAAGAACCACGAGAGCCUUACCAUGACCGUCCACAUCGUCCGUCACAGCGGCAAGCGGAAGCAGUAG